rnacentral:rRNA from 1 species
GACGAACGCUGGCGGCGUGCCUAAUACAUGAAAGUCGAACGCAGUGGGGACGGGUGAGUAAAACGUGGGUAACCUCCCAUCAGAGGGGAUAACACUUGGAAACAGGUGCUAAACCGAUACUGAUGGAUGGACCAGCGGUGCAUUAGCUAGUUGGUGAGGUAACGGCUCACCAAGGCCACGAUGCUAAGCCUCCCUGAGAGAGUGAUCGGCCACACUGGGCCUGAGACACGGCCCAGACUCCGACGGGAGGCAGCAGUAGUGUAUCUUCGGCAAUGGACGAAAGUCUGACCGAGCAACGCCGCGUGAGUGAAGAAGUUUUUCGGAUCGUAAAACUCUGUUGUUAGAGAAGCGGUAUCUAACCAGAAAGCCACGGCUAACUACGUGCCAGCAGCCGCGGUAAUAC